UUCUAGAGAUAGAUUGGUGCCUUCGGGAACUGUGAGACAGGUGCUGCAUGGCUGUCGUCAGCUCGUGUUGUGAAAUGUUGGGUUAAGUCCCGUAACGAGCGCAACCCUUGUCCUUAUUUGCCAGCACGUAAUGGUGGGAACUCUAAGGAGACUGCCGGUGACAAACCGGAGGAAGGUGGGGACGACGUCAAGUCAUCAUGGCCCUUACGAGCGGGGCUACACACGUGCUACAAUGGCCAGGACAAACGGUUGCAACCCCGCGAGGGUGAGCUAAUCCGAGAAACCUGGUCGUAGUCCGGAUCGCAGUCUGCAACUCGACUGCGUGAAGUCGGAAUCGCUAGUAAUCGUGAAUCAGAAUGUCACGGUGAAUACGUUCCCGGGCCUUGUACACACCGCCCGUCACACCAUGGGAGUGGAUUGCACCAGAAGUAGCUAGCUUAACCUUCGGGAGGGCGGUUACCACGGUGUGGUUCAUGACUGGGGUGAAGUCGUAACAAGGUAACCA
rnacentral:rRNA from 1 species